rnacentral:rRNA from 1 species
CGGAGGUGCAAGCGUUACCCGGAAUCACUGGGCGUAAAGGGCGUGUAGGCGGAUAUUAAGUCUGGUUUAAAGACCGAGGCUCAACCUCGGGAGUGGACUGGAUACUGGAUGUCUUGACCUCUGGAGAGGUAACUGGAAUUCCUGGUGUAGCGGUGGAAUGCGUAGAUACCAGGAGGAACACCAAUGGCGAAGGCAAGUUACUGGACAGAAGGUGACGCUGAGGCGCGAAAGUGUGGGGAGCAAACCGGAUU